rnacentral:tRNA from 1 species
GCGGCGUAGCUCAGCGGGAUAGAGCGCCUUGCUUUCGACAUACCACGGGUUCGCAUCUGUAUGGUAUGGGCAAGGAGGCCGUAGGUUCAAGUCCUACCGUCGCCC